UGUGUGUGUGUGUGUGUUUU
rnacentral:miRNA from 1 species